GACAGCAGUAGCCGCGGUAAUACGGAGGGUGCAAGCGUUAAUCGGAAUUACUGGGCGUAAAGCGCACGCAGGCGGUCUGACAAGUCAGAUGUGAAAUCCCCGGGCUUAACCUGGGAACUGCAUUUGAAACUGUCAGGCUGGAGUCUUGUAGAGGGGGGUGGAAUUCCAGGUGUAGCGGUGAAAUGCGUAGAGAUCUGGAGGAAUACCGGUGGCGAAGGCGGCCCCCUGGACAAAGACUGACGCUCAGGUGCGAAAGCGUGGGGAGCAAACAGGAUUAGAUACCCCUGUAGUCCCUGUCUCUUAUAC
rnacentral:rRNA from 1 species